rnacentral:rRNA from 1 species
GAUGCACGCUAGCUACAGGCUUAACACAUGCAAGUCGAGGGACCGGCGCACGGGUGAGUAACACGUAUCCAACCUGCCCUUUACUCGGGGAUAGCCUUUCGAAAGAAAGAUUAAUAACCGAUAUCAAGGAUGGGGAUGCGUUCCAUUAUGUUGUUGGUGAGGUAACUGCCCACCAAGCCUUCGAUGGAUAGGGGUUCUGAGAGGAAGUUCCCCCACAUUGGAACUGAGACAAGAUCCAAACUCCUACGGGAGGCAGAAGGGGUGAAUAUUGGUCAAAGGGCGGUAGCCUGAACCAGCCAAGUAGCGUGAAGGAUGAAGGCAGAUGGGUCGUAAAAUUCUUUUAUAUAAGAAUAUGUAUUAUAUGAAUAAGGAUCGGCUAACACCGUGCCAGCAGCCGCGGUAAUAC